GGUUCCUAAACAGUCAUACCUGGGAUUUGAUUGGCUUAGAGAUAACAACAGGAAAAAACGCGCCAUUUGCAGUUUGCCAAAAUAAAUUUAAUAAUAAAUAAUGACAAAACAUUGUGUAUUUUGCAUUAUGAAUUGGAUUUGAGAUCAUUUUGAUUGAGCAGAAACAAUCACAGUUUAUUACCGAAUACUUGGCUAUGGCGGAAAAUGAAGAACUUCGAUCAAGUUUCGGAUGUCCUACUAUUUUCGUCACGUUUGGAAGGAAAAAAAGAAAAAUCGUCAGCACAUUCUGGUCAUCAUAUUAUGGAAAUAUUUGUGACUGAAUCCCAUCUGAAUGUUGGAUGACAUAUAUCAAGAUGACACUGAACAGGACAUAACUGAGGAAAAUGGAUGUGAAAUAAUCCAAUCUAACAGUUGGAAAUAAAUAUAUAUAGUAUUUAUAAAAUAUUUGUUUGUAUAUACUGUUCAGAUAUAUUAGUGAGUCAGAAUGAAACAUCACUUUGUUUGUUAAGACUAUUGUGCUUCAAUUUUUAUGUUUUGUGGACAGCUAGUUUACAGAUAGGGUGUGUAAGCGGUGGCAUUAAUACAGCAAUUGCCCGAGAAUAUUGAAAUUUGGCCUCCAAGGACAGAUUGCUGCCUAUUUUCAUUUGUUUAAUGAUUAGUUCAUCACCAACUGCUGGAUGUAAAAAAUUAAAUUGAUAAUUAAUUCUGACCCAUAGUCUU